GAUGAAGAACGUAGCGAAAUGCGAUAAGUAAUGUGAAUUGCAGAAUUCAGUGAAUCAUCGAAUCUUUGAACGCACAUUGCGCCCAUUAGCAUUCUAGUGGGCAUGCCUGUUCGAGCGUCAUUUCAACCCUUAAGCCCUGUUGCUUAGCGUUGGGAGCCUACAGUACUGUAGCUCCCCAAAGUUAGUGGCGGAGUCGGUUUCACACUCUAGACGUAGUAAUUUUUUCUCGUCUGUAGUUGAGCCGGUCCCCUGCCGUAAAACACCCAAUUUAUCAAGGUUGACCUCGGAUCAGGUAGGAAUACCCGCUGAACUUAAGCAUAUCAAUAAGCGGAGGU
rnacentral:misc_RNA from 1 species